rnacentral:rRNA from 1 species
AGAGUUUGAUCAUGGCUCAGAGCGAACGCUGGCGGCAGGCUUAACACAUGCAAGUCGAGCGGGCGUAGCAAUACGUCAGCGGCAGACGGGUGAGUAACGCGUGGGAACGUACCUUUUGGUUCGGAACAACACAGGGGAAACUUGUGCUAAUACCGGAUAAGCCCUUACGGGGAAAGAUUUAUCGCCGAAAGAUCGGCCCGCGUCUGAUUAGCUAGUUGGUGAGGUAACGGCUCACCAAGGCGACGAUCAGUAGCUGGUCUGAGAGGAUGAUCAGCCACAUUGGGACUGAGACACGGCCCAAACUCCUACGGGAGGCAGCAGUGGGGAAUAUUGGACAAUGGGCGCAAGCCUGAUCCAGCCAUGCCGCGUGAGUGAUGAAGGCCCUAGGGUUGUAAAGCUCUUUUGUGCGGGAAGAUAAUGACGGUACCGCAAGAAUAAGCCCCGGCUAACUUCGUGCCAGCAGCCGCGGUAAUACGAAGGGGGCUAGCGUUGCUCGGAAUCACUGGGCGUAAAGGGUGCGUAGGCGGGUCUUUAAGUCAGGGGUGAAAUCCUGGAGCUCAACUCCAGAACUGCCUUUGAUACUGAGGAUCUUGAGUUCGGGAGAGGUGAGUGGAACUGCGAGUGUAGAGGUGAAAUUCGUAGAUAUUCGCAAGAACACCAGUGGCGAAGGCGGCUCACUGGCCCGAUACUGACGCUGAGGCACGAAAGCGUGGGGAGCAAACAGGAUUAGAUACCCUAGUAGUCC